GGGACGCGAUGAACGGAGUGGGGAGAGGAUGGAUUCUAGAAUCGGCUGGGAGGAAGAUGAUGCUUAACUCGCGGAUGCUGGGAGGAUUGCAUUGCAGGAUGAAGAGGAAGAGGCGGGGUCAUCCGGGAUUUGGGAUCUUGAAUCCGGAGGAGACGCGGACGGUGAUGGCGAGAAUCGGGAGGCUGGGUCGAUUUGGAAAUCUCCCCUGUUUCAGUGCUGCAUUGGGGCCGGCUGGGAGGGAGAUGAGCUUUGUUUUGAAGCAAAGGAAAAACGUGUGGAUUUGAGCCUGGGAGAUUUGCUGGAUACGGGGGAUGAUGAAUCGCAUGAGGAUUCGUCUGGGAAGCUUGGAUUGGCUUGGAU
rnacentral:lncRNA from 1 species